rnacentral:rRNA from 1 species
CCUACGGGCUGCAGCAGUGAGGAAUAUUGGUCAAUGGACGAGAGUCUGAACCAGCCAAGUAGCGUGAAGGAUGACUGCCCUAUGGGUUGUAAACUUCUUUUAUAUGGGAAUAAAACGUUCCACGUGUGGGAUUUUGUAUGUACCAUAUGAAUAAGGAUCGGCUAACUCCGUGCCAGCAGCCGCGGUAAUACGGAGGAUCCGAGCGUUAUCCGGAUUUAUUGGGUUUAAAGGGAGCGUAGGUGGAUUGUUAAGUCAGUUGUGAAAGUUUGCGGCUCAACCGUAAAAUUGCAGUUGAAACUGGCAGUCUUGAGUACAGUAGAGGUGGGCGGAAUUCGUGGUGUAGCGGUGAAAUGCUUAGAUAUCACGAAGAACUCCGAUUGCGAAGGCAGUUCACUGGACUGCAACUGACACUGAGGCUCGAAAGUGUGGGUAUCAAACAGGAUUAGAUACCCCUGUAGUC